GAAGUCAUAGUCAAUUAUCUGAUAUCUGACCUGCAAUCAGAAGGAGCUCCAAAGGAGCUGACUUUA
rnacentral:tRNA from 1 species